ensembl:lncRNA
CUAUAACUGAACCAACCUGGUGCUCUUCAUUUAUGGAGGCUGUUGAGUCUGAAUGUUGGAUUUUGUGUAUCUCGUGUUCUCUGGGCUUUGUUGUCCUCAAGUCUUUUUGCAGGAUCAGAAAACAAAACCAGGAGGCGCGUAAAUGUUUCUUCUCCACGAUGUUUCUUCAAAUGUUUCUUCUGGAUGAUGAUAAGACUGACACGGGAUGCCACCUUUGGUCUUGUGAUGAAGCAAAGCUCAGGAAGAAGUGGGAUUAAAUGGUACCCACAUGUGUGCUGCUGAGAAGGAUGUACAGGGGCACCUGCAGCCAAAUCCAAGCCUCAGAGCAGCAGUUUGUGCUCACAGAUGGUGACGGUGUGGAGAGACGGUGGUGUUUCCUCAGAAGAACCAGCAGAGUCACUUGCUGACUGAUGCUCGUCUGCACUGCACAGAGGAAAUCAGCUGACCGAGGAGUGUUUCUGAGUGAGGGGGAGAGGAGUCAUCAUCCAGAUGGGCAGCAUAUCAGUCUUGGACUGUCUAACCUGCAGCACUGAAUGACCACCGCACAUGAGCAUGUUCCUGCAACAUUCAGCAUCUGAUCCUUCAUCUGUGUGCUGCUGCUUUUGUGUCACAUGUCAAACAGCUGGAGAGGAAACUACACCAGCGUACUGGGAUGUUUCAGCAACACGUGCCAGAUGCUGUUCCUUCAUGGUGACAUCACCAGAGACAGCCCCGCCCACCUCAGGACCUCGCCAUUGAUCAUGAUGAUUAUAAUGAUGACAGCGAGCGGAACUAAGACUGUAAAAAUCCACGACCAGAAUGUUUCUUUCUAAUUAUGAACGAAUAGUGAGAGCCUCUUUCUGUGUUUUGUCUGUUUUGUUUUUUACCUCAUUUGUUUCUAACAAAGUUCACAAACUCACACAGUUUACAUUCUGUAUGUUUCCAUCUUUACCAGCCACUCUAACUGCAUUUAAGAAAAUAAUCCUUAGAAAUCGUCGUUUUUCUCUUUUGUAAUUGAUGAUAAUUCAGUGAAUAUACUGCGCUGCUUCCUUUUAUUGCGUCUCACAUUGCUUUAAGUUUUUCAGUGUCCAGUUAUUAGUGUGAAUGCUUGAAAAGCAUUCACAGUAUUGUUCUUCUAAUCUUUAUUCUUCUAUUUUAUUAUCUAUUCCGUACGUUUUUUGAAAGCCUACUCCUUCAAAACCGUUCAACUUAGAAAAACCAUUCAAACACCAUUAGAUUCCUAUUCUUUUGGACAUGAUUGCUUGUAUUUUUCUCAUUUUUAACAUUUAUAUUUUUAAUUUUAUUCAACUUUAUUCAACAAAAAUUUCCCAUGUAUUUCAAUGGGGAGACCCUUCAAAUUCUCAUUCAACUUACUCAUUUUUAAACUCUUACUACUUCAACAUACGUUCACAUAGAGCCACC